UGGGCUUGAACCGCUACUGACCAACGGUAGAAAUAUCGUCUUCCCGCAAGGGACAGUAGUAGAGGUGCUGCAUGGCUGUCGUCAGCUCGUGCCGUGAGGUGUUGGGUUAAGUCCCGCAACGAGCGCAACCCUUACUCGUAGUUGCUACCCGCAAGGGAGAACUCUACGAGGACUGCUCCGGAUAACGGAGAGGAAGGUGGGGAUGACGUCAAGUCAGCACGGCCUUUAUGUCCAGGGCUACACACGUGUUACAAUGCAUGGUACAGACUGUUGCGAACCCGCGAGGGGGAGCUAAUCGGAGAAAGCCAUGCUCAGUUCGGAUUGCAGUCUGCAACUCGGCUGCAUGAAGCUGGAAUCGCUAGUAAUGGCGUAUCAGAUCGACGCCGUGAAUACGUUCCCGGGCC
rnacentral:rRNA from 1 species